rnacentral:rRNA from 1 species
AUGAACGCUGGCGGCGUGCUUAACACAUGCCAGUCGAACGGAAAGGCCCAAGCUUGCUUGGGUACUCGAGUGGCGAACGGGUGAGUAACACGUGGGUGAUCUGCCCUGCACUUCGGGAUAAGCCUGGGAAACUGGGUCUAAUACUGGAUAGGACCACUUCUUGGAUGUUGUGGUGGAAAGUUUUUUCGGUGUGGGAUGAGCUCGCGGCCUAUCAGCUUGUUGGUGGGGUAAUGGCCUACGAAGGCGUCGACGGGUAGCCGGCCCUAGAGGGUGUACGGCCACAGUGGGACUGAGAUACGGCCCAGACUCCGACGGGAGGCAGCAGUAGCGAAUAUUACACAAGGGGCGCAAGCCCGAUGCAGCGACGCCGCGGGGGGGAGGACGGCCUUCGGGUUGUAAACGCCUUUCGCUAGUAACGAAGCGUUUUGUGACGGUACCUGGAGAAGAAGCACCGGCUAACUACGUG